GGAGAUGUGGCACAAGUGGUAGUGCGCUCGCCUAGCACGCGUGAGGCACUGGGUUCGAUUCUCAGCACCA
rnacentral:tRNA from 1 species